UGCCGACAAUCACGGUUGUUGUCCCACCUGUCAGAAAGAGCCAAGUAGCAGAUAACGCCACCUCGGCCACAAUAAUUUUUCCCCUUUGUUCACGGUCUUCUACUGUUAAUCCACCCUCUGGGUGGGCCCAUCACAUGACUGUCCCCCAUAUCACGGACUCCGAUGGAACCCACCGCUUCCUUCUUUAAUUAAUUAUAUUUUACUUGAUACAAAAACCUUAUUUAAUUUUCAACGUACUCCCAACAGACAA
rnacentral:misc_RNA from 1 species